rnacentral:rRNA from 1 species
UACGGAGGGAGCUAGCGUUGUUCGGAAUUACUGGGCGUAAAGCGCACGUAGGCGGCUUUGUAAGUUAGAGGUGAAAGCCCGGGGCUCAACCCCGGAAUUGCCUUUAAGACUGCAUCGCUUGAAUCCGGGAGAGGUGAGUGGAAUUCCGAGUGUAGAGGUGAAAUUCGUAGAUAUUCGGAAGAACACCAGUGGCGGAAGGCGGCUCAGCUGGACCGGUAUUGACGCUGAGGUGCGAAGCGUGGG